AAUGUCAAGUUCUCGGUGACACAAAGAGAUCUCAGUCCUAAGUUCCAAAAGAACUUUCUCAUAUAGAAGUUUGGCAUUAUGUUAUAAGGAAUAAUUAUGUCGCUUCAGAUGGCAUCUCUGGAUGAUCAGACAGGAGCAGACACAGAAUAGCAGCGUGGAGAGGGGUGUGGAUGGGAAGGAGAUUUCGUGUCCCCACAGGUCCUAGACAGGAGGCAUGGCAGCCCUGAGGAGGCCACGUGGAGAGAGGGUCUGUGGUCAAUGCCUUCGUGGGGGUCAGGGUGGGGCAGUGCCAUCAAUGGAGUCAGCAUACAUCAGAAUACAGAUGUGAACACGUUACCACCUAUUGAAUUGGAAAAAACAAUAUUGGACAAACUAAGUGAUUUUCUAUAAUGGGCUAUAUCUCUAGUCCCAAGUGCAAGAGAUCCAGUGAUCUGAGAAAAAGGGGGGAGGCUUUCAGACAUGUGACUUUUUAUUUCCUUGUGACUUAAUGAAAAACAAAUAAAAAGCAUCAAAAGUAA